rnacentral:rRNA from 1 species
ACCUGGUUGAUCCUGCCAGUGAAUUGUACGCUCGUCGAAAAGACUAAGCCAUGCAUGUAUAAGUUCAUAUCGAUUAAAGAUGAAACUGCGAAGCGCUCAGUAAAUCAGUUAUAAUCUAUUCAAAAAAAAAGAAUGGAUAACUAUGGUAAAUCUAUAGCUAAUACAUAUGCUUCGGCGUAAAGUUAUUGAAUAAAACUGUAUAUGUUAUGAAAAGAAAUAACUGAGAAUCGCAUAGUAAAACUAGCGAUGUUUUGAUCGAAUAUCUGGCCUAUCAACUUGUUGGUAAGGUAGUGGCUUACCAAGGUGAUGACGGGUAACGGGGAAUCAGGGUUCGGUUCCGGAGAGGGAGCCUGAGAGACGGCUACCACUUCCAAGGAAGGCAGCAGGCGCGUAAAUUACCCAAUCCAGACAUUGGGAGGUAGUUACGAGAAAUAUCAAGACGGGAUAAAAUUUCGUCAUUGAAAUGAACAGAAUGUAAAAAAGAUGUUGAGUAGCAACUGGAGGGCAAGUCUGGUGCCAGCAGCCGCGGUAAUUCCAGCUCCAGUAGUGUACUUCAAAAUUGUUGCGGUUAAAACGCUCGUAGUCGAAUUUGAAGAAUAUGACUUUGAAGUUUUGAUUGUGAAAACAAGUGUAAAACGUAAAAGUGGUAUUCUUAUGUGACAAGUUUUAAUUGUGGACUUGACUGUUUGUGAUUAAAUACUUGUGAGGCGUGCCUUGAAUAAAGCAGAGUGCUUAAAGCAAGUGUGAAUCGCUGGUAUGUGAUAGCAUGGAACGUAAAUGUUUGUCAGGUGUGCCUAGUUGAUAGUAAUCUAGGUGCCUUGGUGGUUAAGAGGGACACUUGAGGGCGUUAGUACUUGGUGGCGAGAGGUGAAAUUCUUAGACCCCCCAAAGACUGGCAAAUGCGAAGGCGUUCGCCAAGAGUGUUUCCAUUGAUCAAGAACGAAAGUUGGAGGUUCGAAGACGAUCAGAUACCGUCCUAGUUCCAUACAGUAAACUAUGCCAACACGCGAUCAGUCUGAACAAAAGAUUGAGGUUGGUCGCCCAGGGAAACUGAAAGUGUUCUGGUUCCGGGGAGAGUAUAAAUGCAAGUUUGAAAUUUAAAACGGAAUUGACGGAAAGGCACCACCAGGAGUGGAGCCUGCGGCUUAAUUUGACUCAACACGGGGCAACUCACCAGAUCCGUACAUCGGCAGGAUUGACAGACUGAUAGAUCUUUCAUGAUUCGAUGAUUGGUGGUGCAUGGCCGUUCUUAGUUGGUGGAGUGAUCUGUCAGGUUUAUUCCGGUAACGAGCGAGACCACGAUUUCUAGUUGAUUGCAGAGAUGCAGUUAAUGGAUGACUUGUUGUUCAUUGUGUCGAUGAUCCUAGAGAGACAACCGGAGAACCAAGCCGGGGGAAGCGUGGCAAUAACAGGUCUGUGAUGCCCUUCGAUGUUCUGGGCUGCACGCGCGCUACAAUGGCAGUGACAGAAAGAAGCAAAGUCGAGAGAUGAUGCUAAUCGUGAAUAACUGUCGUGAUUGGGAUUGAGCUUUGCAAAUAGCUCAUGAAAGAGGAAUUCCUCGUAAGCGCGAGUCACCAACUCGUGUUGAAUACGUCUCUGCCUUUUGUACACACCGUCCGUCGCUACUACUGAUUGAAUUGGUUUUUGAAGAGCAAGGAUUGGCGUUCGUGUAUAUGGAUGCCGAGAAUCGCUUUAAAAAAGCCGUUUGAGAGGAAGUAAAAGUCGUAACAAGGCUUCCGUAGGUGAACCUGCGGAAGAAG